rfam:Sorghum bicolor cultivar BTx623 chromosome 4, whole genome shotgun sequence.
AUGACUAGAGCCGCUCCGAGUAGCCAAGGAAGACAUGCCUAUAUGCUCAGCACAUACAAAUUUACCACCAAGAGACAGGCUCUCAGGCAUAUAGCUAGGCAAGUCAUCCUUGGCUACUGCACGAAUCAGCUCUGGUCC